UUAAGCUGACAAUUUAAUUUUGUGUCAAACAAUACUGUGAUGUUGCUAAAUAGUGUCCUUAUUUUUUUACUAUUCUAACAUCAUGAUUAUUUAAACAAAAACACAAACAAAUGAAACUGAAUGUUGCCCACUUUGUGAAUGUCCAGCUGAAAGACCACACAAACUGAGGACGACCACAACGGCAAGCACCACAUGAUGCACCAGCUCAGCACCCUUCCCCUUCUCACUCCCCCUCCACUUCCCAGUCCCCCUCCUCUUCUCACUCCCCCUCCCCUUCUCACUCCCCCUCCCCUUCUCACUCCCCCUCCCCUUCUCACUCCCCCUCAGCUUCCCAAUCCCCCUCAGCUUCCCAAUCACCCUCAGCUUCACAAUCCACCUCAGCUUCCCAGUCACCCUCAGCUUCCCAGGCCCCCUCAGCUUCCCAGGCCCCCUCAGCUUCCCAGGCCCACUCCACUUUCCACUCCCCUUCUCAGCCAACCUCUCCUUCUCUUUCUGUGACCCCUUCUCCUCCUUCCCAUACCCCUUCUCCUUCUACUUCCAACUCACCUUCUCAGCCCCCCUCACCCUCUAUUGGCCUAACAUUUUCACCGCCCCCCUCGCCCUCUCAAUCAGACCCACCCUCUGAAAUUACAUCCCCAAUCCAACCUCCUUCCCCCAUCCAGCCUCCUUCCCCCAUCCAGCCUCCUUCCCCCAUCCAGCCUCCUUCCCCCAUCCAGCCUCCUUCCCCAAUCCCUCCUCCUUCCCCCAUCCAGCCGCCUUCCCCCAUCCAGCCGCCAUCCCCACCCAGUGAAUGGGCAGAGGAAGCCCCUGAAGACAGUUCAGGGAGUCUUCAUGUUGCCGAGGAAAAUGUUGCAGUUGGAGAUCCUACAAGUUUUGGAGGCAUUCUUUACACCAUGCGCCAACAC